rnacentral:lncRNA from 1 species
GAGCCUACAGAGGCAGGCAGGCCUCCUUGAGCUGUGGUGGGCUCCGCCCAGUUGGAGCUUCCUGGCUGCUUUGUUUACCUAAUCAAGCCUGGGCAAUGGCGGGCGCCCCUCCCCCCGCCUCGCUGCCGCCUUGCAGUUUGAUCUCAGACUGCUGUGCUAGCAAUCAGCGAGACUCCGUGGGCGUAGGACCCUCCGAGCCAGAGAUGGGAUCUUACUACAUUGCCCAGGCUGAAGUGCAGUGGCUAUUAACAGCUGUAAUCAUAAUGCAUUGCAGCUUUGAAUUCCUGGGCUUGAGCGACCUCCCCACCUUAGCCUCCUGAGUAGCUGAGACUACAGAUGUGCCUUGCUUCUCCUUCAUUUUCUGCCAUGACUGUAAGUUCCCUGAGGCCUUCCCAUCCAUGUGGAACUGCACUGUCCUAGGUACUGUGGGGACCAAAACAUUCAGACCUGCUUCUAAGGAGUGCAGUCCAUGGAAGAGUCAGAAUAACAAAUCAACAUUUGUACUACACCAGACCAGCUCUCUUCUAAGGUUGCUAUGACUUCCCAGCAGGCAUUCUAAUAUAUGCAUUCUUCAUAACAACUGUGUGAAACAUAUUAAUAUCCUCAUUGUUAACGAUGAAGAAACUAAAUCUCAGGAAGAAAAACUAAGUGAAGACAAAAGAAGGAUUUGAACUGAGGUUUGUCAGACUCUCGGGACCAUGCUGUUGAAACCACUAAACCACGCUGCCUCUGGGUCACUUGAUUAUUCUGGGAGAUUCUGGGAGUCUUUUCUCCAACACUCCAGUGGCAUCUGACUAUGUGAGCUGAUAAGAUCUAUAGAUCUUUGCUGAACCUGAUUCUGGAAGGUACAACAAUUUCGGCCAUCUUCCUAAUCAAUACUGUGAGAUGGGACCAAAUUGAUUGUGUGGUACAUGAAGCACAGCCCAGGAAAAGCUGAUGAGACCUAGACACCAUUAUAUAUUUUGCCUGACUUAUUAACUUACUCUGUGUCAAAAUUGAGUCCGUUUUUGAUAAAAAUACAGUACUGAGGAACUGUUUCUUUCCUCCUUCUCCAUGUCCUUGUCUCUUCUUGGUUAACAAACCUGACUAGCAAUUGUUUUUCUUUUUUCUUUUUUUGCAGUGUUUGUGAAGAUUUUCUAACCUGGUAUCACACGG